rnacentral:rRNA from 1 species
CGGGGUGGAGUAAUGUCUGGGAAACGUGCCUGAUGGAGGGGGGAAACUAGCGGAAACGGUAGCUAAUACGCAUAACGUCGCAAGACCAAAGAGGGGGACCUUCGGGCCUCUUGCCAUCGGAUGUGCCCAGAUGGGAUUAGCUAGUAGGUGGGGUAACGGCUCACCUAGGCGACGAUCCCUAGCUGGUCUGAGAGGAUGACCAGCCACACUGGAACUGAGACACGGUCCAG